rnacentral:misc_RNA from 1 species
GAUGAAGAACGUAGCGAAAUGCGAUAAGUAGUGUGAAUUGCAGAAUUCAGUGAAUCAUCGAAUCUUUGAACGCACAUUGCGCCCGCCAGUAUUCUGGCGGGCAUGCCUGUUCGAGCGUCAUUACAACCCUCAGGCCCCCGGGCCUGGCGUUGGGGAUCGGCGGAAGCCCCCUGCGGGCACAACGCCGUCCCCCAAAUACAGUGGCGGUCCCGCCGCAGCUUCCAUUGCGUAGUAGCUAACACCUCGCAACUGGAGAGCGGCGCGGCCACGCCGUAAAACACCCAACUUCUGAAUGUUGACCUCGAAUCAGGUAGGAAUACCCGCUGAACUUAAGCAUAUCAAUAAGCGGAGA